UAGAUGUCAAAAAAGCUGUGAGUUUCCCAGA
rnacentral:piRNA from 1 species